rfam:Canis lupus familiaris chromosome 11, whole genome shotgun sequence.
CGGGGGAGGCCGGAUCCUGGGCUGUGUCCCGGCGCCCUGUGCUCCGGAGCCUGCGCUGUUGGAUUCGCGCUCCCGGGCCGCGCAACCCCCU